CCCUUAGAUGUUCUGGGCCGCACGCGCGCUACACUGAUGCAUUCAACGAGUUUCUUCCUGGUCCGAGAGGAAUGGGUAACCUUUUGAAAGUGCAUCGUGAUAGGGAUAGACUAUUGCAAUUAUUGGUCUUCAACGAGGAAUUCCUAGUAGACGUAGUUCAUCAGACUGCAUCGAUUACGUCCCUGCCCUUUGUACACACCGCCCGUCGCUCCUACCGAUCGAAGAGUUAGGUGAAUUGUUUUGAUCGAUAAGAUUUGACUAUGGUCAACUCUCGUUGUGAAAUUCUGUGAAUCUGACUGUUUAGAGGAAGGAAAAGUCGUAACA
rnacentral:rRNA from 1 species